GAUGAACGCUGGCGGCGUGCCUAAUACAUGCAAGUCGAGCGAACAGACGAGGAUCUUGCUCCUCUGACGUUAGCGGCGGACGGGUGAGUAACACGUGGAUAACCUACCUAUAAGACUGGGAUAACUUCGGGAAACCGGAGCUAAUACAGGAUAAUAUAUUGAACCGCAUGGUUCAAUAGUGAAAGACGGUUUUGCUGUCACUUAUAGAUGGAUCCGCGCCGCAUUAGCUAGUUGGUACGGUAACGGCUUACCAAGGCUACGAUGCGUAGCCGACCUGAGAGGGUGAUCGGCCACACUGGAACUGAGACACGGUCCAGACUCCUACGGGAGGCAGCAGUAGGGAAUCUUCCGCAAUGGGCGAAAGCCUGACGGAGCAACGCCGCGUGAGUGAUGAAGGUCUUCGGAUCGUAAAACUCUGUUAUUAGGGAAGAACAAAUGUGUAAGUAACUAUGCACGUCUUGACGGUACCUAAUCAGAAAGCCACGGCUAACUACGUG
rnacentral:rRNA from 1 species